rnacentral:lncRNA from 1 species
AUAUACAAUCCCUGUACCAAAUUGAUACAACGUUAUACCAAAUUGGUACAACGUUUAAUGUCAUUUAAUAGCCUUUGGGCUACUUUGGCACUUUCCUACAUAUACAGUUUUUAUACCAAAUUGAUGCAAUGUUAUACCAAACUGAUGCACUUUUUCAAAAGUGACGAAACCUAUGCAUGCAUACACAAUCCCUAUACUAAAUUGAUACAACAGUUAUACCAUAUUGAUAUACUUUUUCAAAAGAGAGGGAACUCACACAUACAUAUACAGUCCUUAUAUAAAAUUGAUAUAACGUUUAUACCAUUUUGAUACAAUUCUUUGAAAAAAAAAUAGUAGUGAAAUAAAAAAAUAGAAAAGUUUAAUUCACUUUUUCAUAAGAAAAUGGACAACAUUUUUAAAAAAUGAAACAAUAAAAAAAAAUUAAAAAAUAGAGAAGG